UACGGAAGGCAGCAGGGGGAAUAUUGCACAAUGGGCGCAAGCCUGAUGCAGCCAUGCCGCGUGUAUGAAAAAGGCCUUCGGGUUGUAAAGUACUUUCAGUCGUGAGGAAGGUGUUAAGGUUAAUAACCUUAGCAAUUGACGUUAGCGACAGAAGAAGCACCGGCUAACUCCGUGCCAGCAGCCGCGGUAAUACGGAGGGUGCGAGCGUUAAUCGGAAUUACUGGGCGUAAAGGGCACGCAGGCGGUUAAUUAAGUUGGAUGUGAAAUCCCCGGGCUUAACCUGGGAAUGGCAUUCAAGACUGGUUAGCUAGAGUCUUGUAGAGGGGGUAGAAUUCCAUGUGUAGCGGUGAAAUGCGUAGAGAUGUGGAGGAUACCGGUGGCGAAGGCGGCCCCUGGACAAAGACUGACGCUCAUGUGCGAAAGCGUGGGGAGCAAACAGGGAUUAGAUACC
rnacentral:rRNA from 1 species